rnacentral:rRNA from 1 species
AUGGAUAUUAAACUCGUGGAGAUCGAAGCCAUCACAAACAAUUUUGCAGAGGAACAGAAAGUCGGCAGCGGUGGGUACGGAGAUGUUUACAGGGCCACUCACAAAGGAGAGGAAGUUGCCGUGAAGAAGCUCCAUCAACUGCAGGGACUCGAUGAUAAGCAAUUCGACAGCGAGUUCCGUAACCUUCGUAAUAUACGCCACCAAAAUGUUGUGCGGCUAAUUGGCUACUGCCACGAGUCUCGCAAGAAAUACAUGGAGCACAAGGGGGAGCUCAUCUUCGCCAAAGAGAUGGAGCGCGUGCUCUGCUUCGAAUAUAUGCACGGCGGAAGCCUCGAUAAACAUAUUACAGAUGAAUCUUGUGAGCUUGAUUGGCCGACGUGUUACAAAAUCAUCAAAGGGACUUGUGAGGGCUUAAAUCACCUUCACACCUCGCAGGGGAAGCCUAUUUUACAUCUAGACAUAAAACCAGCCAACAUAUUGCUGGAUAAGAGCAUGACGCCUAAAAUCGCGGAUCUUGGUUUGUCCAAACUUGUUUCUUCGACAUUAACACAUAAAACAGAGAUUGUCAAAGGGACACAAGGGUACAUGCCACCAGAAUAUGUAGACAAUGGCUACAUAUCGAACAAAUUUGACGUGUUUAGUUUUGGCGUCGUAAUUAUAAAAAUGAUGGCCGGUAACGUGGGCUACUUCCGUUGUGCUGAAAUGUCUCACAAAGAGUUUAUUGAGCUGGUAACUAAAAACUGGGCGAAAAGGUUGCUGACAGAGCCUGGAUAUUCCUCGCACGAAACCGACAUGCUAGGAGUCACUAGAUGUGUUGAAAUUGCAUUAAGAUGUGUGGACAAGGACCGAAACAAAAGGCCCUGUAUUAAGGAUGUUGUCCAUGAGCUGGAGGAACUAGAAGCUGAGAUCAAGAAAAUGUCCCUAUCUUCUGACCAGUCAAAAGGCCUAAGUCUGCAGAGAAGCUGUGACACCAACAUUCUGUCGGUGGAUCCGACCCUCGAGCUGCGGUUCGUCUUUGAGCCAAGGAAGGAGACGUCGUGCUGUCUGCAGAUGACCAACAAGACGGGUGGCUUCAUCGCAUUCAACAUAUUGAUGAACAAGAACAAGUAUAGUGUGCGGCCAAGCCAAGGGACCAUGCCACCGUGCUCCAGGCGUUAUGUUGUCGUGACACUGUCAGCGCAAGAGGCGGCGCCGCCAUACAUGCGGUGUGACGACAUGCUCCUAGUGCAGAGCACCAGCAUCACCCAAGAUCUUGGUGAGAUCAAUUAUCAAGAAUUGUUCGACGUGGCCAGGGCGGAUAAGGUGGUUGAUGUGGUGCAUCUGCCAAUCGCAUAUGUCACGUUAGAAGAGUAG